AACGAACGCUGGCGGCAGGCCUAACACAUGCAAGUCGAACGCCCGUAGCAAUACGGGAGUGGCAGACGGGUGAGUAACGCGUGGGAACGUGCCCCUCGGUUUGGAAUAACUCAGGGAAACUUGAGCUAAUACCAAAUACGUCCGUAAGGAGAAAGAUUUAUCGCCGAAGGAUCGGCCCGCGUCGGAUUAGCUAGUUGGUGAGGUAACGGCCCACCAAGGCGACGAUCCGUAGCUGGUCUGAGAGGAUGAUCAGCCACACUGGGACUGAGACACGGCCCAGACUCCUACGGGAGGCAGCAGUGGGGAAUAUUGGACAAUGGGCGAAAGCCUGAUCCAGCCAUGCCGCGUGAGUGAAGAAGGCCUUAGGGUUGUAAAGCUCUUUCAGCGGGGAAGAUAAUGACGGUACCC
rnacentral:rRNA from 1 species